UGAGCAAUCUGCCCUUCUCAUCGGAAUAAGCGUUGGUAACGACGUCUAAUGCCGAAUACGACCUCCUUUCGCAUGAUCGGAGGUGGAAAGCUCCGGCGGAGAAGGAUGAGCUCGCGGCCUAUCAGCUAGUUGGUGUGGGUAAUGGCCCACCAAGGCGACGACGGGUAGCCGGCCUGAGAGGGUGACCGGCCACACUGGGACUGAGACACGGCCCAGACCUCCGUACGGGAGCAG
rnacentral:rRNA from 1 species